rnacentral:rRNA from 1 species
AGGAUGAACGCUGGCGGCGUGCCUAAUACAUGCAAGUCGAGCGGUAAGGCCACUUCGGUGGUACACGAGCGGCGGACGGCUGAGUAACACGUAGGAACGUACCCCAAACUGAGGGAUAAGCACCAGAAAUGGUGUCUAAUACCGCAUGUGCUCUUCGGAGUAAAGCUACGGCGGUUUGGGAACGGCCUGCGCAAGAUUAGCUUGUUGGUGAGGUAAUAGCUCACCAAGGCGACGAUCUUUAGCUGGUCUGAGAGGAUGACCAGCCAGACUGGAACUGAGAACGGUCCAGACUCCUACGGGAGGCAGCAGUAGGGAAUUUUCCACAAUGGACGAAAGUCUGAUGGAGCAACGCCGCGUGCAGGAUGAAGGCCCUCGGGUCGUAAACUGCUUUUAUAUGCGACGAUUAUGACGGUAGCAUAUGAAUAAGGAUCGGCUAACUCCGUGCCAGCAGCCGC